UACGGGGGGGGCAAGCGUUGUUCGGAAUUACUGGGCGUAAAGCGUGCGCAGGCGGCUUUGCAAGACAGAUGUGAAAUCCCCGGGCUUAACCUGGGAACUGCAUUUGUGACUGCAUGGCUCGAGUGCGGCAGAGGGGGAUGGAAUUCCGCGUGUAGCAGUGAAAUGCGUAGAUAUGCGGAGGAACACCGAUGGCGAAGGCAAUCCCCUGGGCCUGCACUGACGCUCAUGCACGAAAGCGUGGGGAGCAAACAGG
rnacentral:rRNA from 1 species